rfam:Corynebacterium aquilae DSM 44791 strain S-613, complete genome.
CAGUGAUCGCCGCGCUGAUGUGCGACGGAAUCCGUGGCGAUCCAGACUCACUUUCAGACGUCCAUCGCACCGCUUUCACCGCCACGCUUUCGGUGGAAUGCGGCCCGAACACGGGAGAGAACCCUGAGCGUUUCAGU